ensembl:processed_transcript growth arrest specific 5
CUUUCGGAGCUGUGCGGCACGCUGAGCAGGAAUGGCAAUGUGGACCCCUGUGAUGGGACAUCUUGUGGGAUCUUACAGCCAGAUCUGUGGCAAAGGAGGAUGAAGGCUUAUGAGGACUCGUCAGGAAGCUGGAUAACAGAACGAGCGCAAUGUAAGCAAUUUUGUGUGUGCAUGUGGUCCCAUUACAAGGAAUACCCAAUGGCAAAUGAGCACUAAAGAUCCCUCAACCCACACAUCGAAUGUAUUGUUCCCUGAGAGCACUUGUAGAUAGAGGAGUUGGGUGGGAGAUCUGAAGUCAGGGCAUUGUUUCUAUGUAUCUGAGGAGGCUGGUUUUUGAUAUUUGUGGGGAACUAGUGGUCGUUAACUCAUUUACCCCCUAUUUGGUGGACUCUGGUUCCCCCAUCUUAAGUGCUGAGUCAGGGGCAGCUUUAACUAUUUGUUUGUUGUAGGUGCUAGAAUAGAAGACCAGAAAAUGAAAUGGUGGAGUUUGAGGCUGGAUAGACAGUUUGAAAGGUACAAAUGAUGGUUUGAAUAAAGAAAGAUAUUACGCAUGGGUCACCUCAAGUGAAGGCGCUGCAAGCACAAUGAUUGGUCAUUCUGAAUUUCCCGUCCUUCAUUCUGAAUUUCAAAGGCUCCUGUGACAAGUGGACAUGCAGUGACUGUACCUUUUGUACCUUUGUUUCUGAGGUGCCUGGAUGGAGGCUCAAAUAGAAGAUGGUGUCAGAUAUAUUGUGUUGUCAAAAUUUUGCCAUUAAAGUGUAUUAUAAC